CCUACGGGUGGCAGCAGUAGGGAAUAUUGCUCAAUGGGGGAAACCCUGAAGCAGCAACGCCGCGUGGAGGAUGAAGGUUUUCGGGUUGUAAACUCCUUUUAUUAGAGAAGAUAAUGACGGUAUCUAACCAAUAAGCACCGGCUAACUACGUGCCAGCAGCCGCGGUAAUACGGAGGGUGCAAGCCGUACUCGGAAUCACUGGGCUUAAAGAGCGCGUAGGCGGGAUAGCAAGUCAGAUGUGAAAUCCUAUGGCUUAACCAUAGAACUGCAUUUGAAACUGUUAGUCUAGAGUAUGGGAGAGGUAGGUGGAAUUCUUGGUGGAGGGGUAAAAUCAGUAGAGAUUAAGAGGAAUACUCAUUGCGAAGGCGACCUGCUAGAACAUAACUGACGCUGAUGCGCGAAAGCGUGGGGAGCAAACAGGAUUAGAUACCCGUGUAGUC
rnacentral:rRNA from 1 species